rnacentral:pre_miRNA from 1 species
UCUCAUGGAUGAGCAAAGAAAGUGGUUUCUUGAGCUGAAAUCUACACGUGGUGAAGAUGCUGUAAA